UACGUAGGUGGCAAGCGUUAUCCGGAAUUAUUGGGCGUAAAGCGUGCGCAGGCGGCCCGUUAAGACAGGUGUGAAAUCCCUGGGCUCAACCUAGGAAUUGCGCUUGUGACUGGCGGGCUCGAGUACGGUAGAGGGGGGUGGAAUUCCUGGUGUAGCAGUGAAAUGCGUAGAGAUCAGGAGGAACACCGAUGGCGAAGGCAGCCCCCUGGGCCUGUACUGACGCUCAUGCACGAAAGCGUGGGGAGCAAACAGG
rnacentral:rRNA from 1 species